rnacentral:snoRNA from 17 species
AUCCUUUAAUUCACAAGCAUGAUGAUUGGGUGUUCACACUAUGGUGUGAGAUGUGCCUCCUCUUAACCUUGUUACGACAUUGGCACAUUACCUGUCUGACA